AUGAUGAAACGUGUUUCCGGUAUGAUAUCGGGAUCGAGCCAAUUUGUAUGGCAUCAGAUGAAGCCAAACGCCAACGUGAUGCAGGAACCAACUUUCAGAACACAACAAAGAGGUAAAACCAUGGCCACUUCCACUGCAAAUGCAACAGAGUCUGCUAUGAAGGAAAAUUACCGAUGUCGAGAGUUAGAAGGGCUUAUUGGAUUCAUCUUAUGGCCAUUUACUCGACAAAAUCCAACAAUCCACUCUUGA